UACGAAGGGGACUAGCGUUGUCCGGAAUCAUUGGGCGUAAAGCGCGUGUAGGCGGUCCGGUAAGUCCGCUGUGAAAGUCGGGGGGCUCAACCCUCGAAUGCCGGUGGGUACUGUCGGGCUAGAGUGCGGAAGAGGCGAGUGGAAUUCCUGGUGUAGCGGUGAAAUGCGCAGAUAUCGGGAAGAACACCCCGUGGCGAAGGCGGUUCUCUGGGACGGUACUGACGCUGAGACGCGAAAGCGUGGGGAGCGAACAGG
rnacentral:rRNA from 1 species